rnacentral:lncRNA from 1 species
GAUCCUCUCUGUUGUGAUUCAUCCCCCCGGGGCCCUACAGUUUCUCCUUCCUGACUCUUACAUUUCUUUGGAUGGCAUCAUUAUUUUAGGUGCCAAGCACUGUGGAUUCUGCCUCUCAGUGUCCAGACACCCAUUUUCCUUCCCACUGUUCCUUCCCCAUGGAGAAGCCUGUGGCUGGCUGACAGCAGAGAGAGAUGCUCAACUUGGAGAAGGUGUUACCUGGGCCAGGUGGGGAAGGUUUGUUUGCAGAGCAAAGAAGUGAAGCCAGCCACCUCAAGAAAGAACAGUUCAUGUGCAGGUGACCAUGUAGUUCAAGUCAUCAUUAAAUCCAAAGCUGAGCAGCCGUGAUGCUAUUGGUGGAAUUGCCCUUGACCAAGAGAAAUCCAUCUUGAUUGUCUCAAUAAUCGGCUCAAGGACCACUGAUGAUGAGGUCCUAAAUUUAAUUCCUAAAAAACCACUAAAGUUAUAGAGGCAAAAUGAGAAAGCAUAGCUCACAAAUACCUUGUGACCAAUGACUUGCCUAUUCAACGUGAAAAAGAUGAGGAUGAAGACCUUUAUUAUGAUCCACUUCCAAGUAAUGAACA